GCCGGGAGCUGCGGUGGGCUCUUGUAAACCAACUUCUAGGUGGCUUGGGAUGAGGAAGAUCUGCCUGUCGGGUAACCACUUGGCUGCCUGUCGUCGUUGACCUAGUGUCCGUGUCAAGCUUAGCGUCGAUAGACCAUCAAUGGGGGAACUAGUUGGUGAUCGGUCGUAGUCAGUUCACUGGCUUAUAAAGAGAGAUGGAUGGCUCAGGCCCGUGAGGGAGCAGGCAAAAGUCUCCGCGCUAUGACGGUGGCCGGAUGGCACACGCGAGGCGUUGGGUUUCAAGUGCCGACAUUAUAUGGUCUCACUCAUUCUUUU
rfam:Strongyloides venezuelensis genome assembly, scaffold: SVE_scaffold0000040